rnacentral:rRNA from 1 species
GACGUAGGAUGCAAGCGUUGUCCGGAUUCAUUGGGCGUAAAGAGUUCGUAGGCGGUUUGUUAAGUCUGAUGUUAAAGAUCGGGGCCCAACCCUGGGAGUGCAUUGGAUACUGGCAGACUGGAGUGCAGUAGAGGCAAGUGGAAUUCCCAGUGUAGCGGUGAAAUGCGUAGAUAUUGGGAGGAACACCAGUGGCGAAGGCGGCUCGCUGGACCGGUUCUGACGCUGAUGCGCGAAAGCGUGGGGAGCAAACGGG